rnacentral:tRNA from 1 species
GGUAGACGCUACGGACUUGAAAAUCCGUUGACCGUAAAAGGUCGUGUGGGUUC